rnacentral:misc_RNA from 1 species
UUCGAUCUGGCUCAGAUUGAACGCUGGCGGGAUGCUUUACACAUGCAAGUCGAACGGCAGCACGGACUUCGGUCUGGUGGCGAGUGGCGAACGGGUGAGUAAUGUAUCGGAACGUGCCUAUUAGCGGGGAUAACUACAUAGCGUAGCUAAUACCGCAUACGCCCUUCGGGGAAAGCGGGGGACCUUCGGGCCUCGCACUAUUAGAGCGGCCGAUAUCGGAUUAGCUAGUUGGUGGGGUAACGGCUCACCAAGGCGACGAUCCGUAGCUGGUUUGAGAGGACGACCAGCCACACUGGGACUGAGACACGGCCCAGACUCCUAGGAGAGGCAGUGGGGAAUUUUGGACAAUGGGGGAAACCUGAUCCAGCCAUCCCGCGUGUGCGAUGAAGGCCUUCGGGUUGUAAAGCACUUUUGGCAGGAAAGAAACGGCACGGGAUAAUACCCCGUGCAACUGACGACCACCUGCAGAAUAAGCACCGGCUAACUACGUGCCAGCAGCCGCGGUAAUACGUAGGGUGCAAGCGUUAAUCGGAAUUACUGGGCGUAAAGCGUGCGCAGGCGGUUCGGAAGAAAGAUGUGAAAUCCCAGAGCUUAACUUUGGAACUGCAUUUUUAACUACCGAGCUAGAGUGUGUCAGAGGAGGUGGAAUUCCGCGAUAGCAGUGAAAUGCGUAGAUAUGCGGAGGAACACCGAUGGCGAAGGCAGCCUCCUGGGAUAACACUGACGCUCAUGCACGAAAAGCGUGGGGGAGCAAACAGGAUUAGAUACCCUGGUAGUCCACGCCCUAAACGAUGUCAACUAGCUGUUGGGGCCUUCGGGCCUUGGUAGCGCAGCUAACGCGUGAAGUUGACCGCCUGGGGAGUACGGUCU